rnacentral:tRNA from 1 species
CAUUAAGAAGCUGAAUAGCAUUAACCUUUUAAGUUAAAAGUUGAGAGUAUUUAAUCUCUCCUUAAUGA